rnacentral:rRNA from 1 species
UACGGAGGGAGCUAGCGUUGUUCGGAAUUACUGGGCGUAAAGCGCACGUAGGCGGCUUUUUAAGUCAGGGGUGAAAUCCCGGGGCUCAACCCCGGAACUGCCUUUGAAACUGGAGAGCUAGAAUCCUGGAGAGGCGAGUGGAAUUCCGAGUGUAGAGGUGAAAUUCGUAGAUAUUCGGAAGAACACCAGUGGCGAAGGCGACUUACUGGACACAUAUUGACGCUGAGGUGCGAAAGCGUGGGGAGCAAACAGG